CGGCACGGGUGAGUAAUACAUCGGAACGUGUCUUCUAGUGGGGGAUAACUGCCCGAAAGGGCAGCUAAUACCGCAUGAGACCUGAGGGUGAAAGCGGGGGAUCGUAAGACCUCGCGCUGGAAGAGCGGCCGAUGUCCGAUUAGCUAGUUGGUGAGGUAAAGGCUCACCAAGGCGACGAUCGGUAGCUGGUCUGAGAGGACGACCAGCCACACUGGGACUGAGACACGGCCCAG
rnacentral:rRNA from 1 species